UUUAUUAUUAUUAUUAUUAUUAUUAUAAAAUAUUUCUGUGCAGCGAAACCUGGUGAAACAGCUUUUGGAGCUUCAGGAACAAGACCAACUUCCUGAGGGGAUCAGAACCUCUGAGCUAAGAGAGUGGCUUUUGGAGGAAGGCUGCAAACAUCUCAGAGACAUGGAGAGGAUUGGGAGAAACAGUUACUUUAGUAGGUCUCACGAAGACUUAAAAAAGAAAGGACAAAAAAGGAAAGAGCAGAACAGCUUGCGACUCACAGAGGAGGAGAUAAGGAGGCAUGAAAUGCAGAGAAAGAAGCUCAUGCUUUGUAACAGACACGAAGAGGAGUGGAAAACGAAGGAGAGGUCCCUUCUGAUGAAAAUAGAAGCGGAUGUCAAGCGUGAAAUUCGACUGGAAGUAAGAAGGAAAGAAGCUAGAGAAGAGAGAGC